UACAGAGGUCUCAAGCGUUGUUCGGAUUCAUUGGGCGUAAAGGGUGCGUAGGUGGCGGGGUAAGUCAGGUGUGAAAUCUCGGAGCUCAACUCCGAAACUGCACUUGAUACUGCCUUGCUCGAGUACUGGAGAGGAGAUUGGAAUUUACGGUGUAGCAGUGAAAUGCGUAGAUAUCGUAAGGAAGACCAGUGGCGAAGGCGAAUCUCUGGACAGUUACUGACACUGAGCACGAAGGCCAGGGGAGCAAACGGG
rnacentral:rRNA from 1 species